rnacentral:rRNA from 1 species
AACUUUCAACAACGGAUCUCUUGGUUCUGGCAUCGAUGAAGAACGCAGCGAAAUGCGAUAAGUAGUGUGAAUUGCAGAAUUCAGUGAAUCAUCGAAUCUUUGAACGCACAUUGCGCCCUUUGGUAUUCCAAAGGGCAUGCCUGUUCGAGCGUCAUCUGUACCCUCAAGCU